rnacentral:pre_miRNA from 13 species
CCCGCCGUUCCUUCUUCCUAUGCAUAUACUUCUUUGAGGAUCUGGCCUAAAGAGGUAUAGGGCAUGGGAAGAUGGGGCGGUGGGUCC